GUCGACUUCCGUACUCUGACGUCUCACCUCAGUCUGCAUGUCGACAGUGUUGUGGUGAAACAUGACGUCUCACGUCAGUCUGCAUGUCGACAUUGAUGUGG